GGGCAGUUUGACUGGGGCGGUCGCCUCCUAAAAGGUAACGGAGGCGCCCAAAGGUUCCCUCAGAAUGGUUGGAAAUCAUUCAUAGAGUGUAAAGGCAUAAGGGAGCUUGACUGCGAGACCUACAAGUCGAGCAGGGUCGAAAGACGGACUUAGUGAUCCGGUGGUUCCGCAUGGAAGGGCCAUCGCUCAACGGAUAAAAGGUACUCUGGGGAUAACAGGCUGAUACCGCCCAAGAGUUCAUAUCGACGGCGGUGUUUGGCACCUCGAUGUCGGCUCAUCACAUCCUGGGGCUGUAGUCGGUCCCAAGGGUAUGGCUGUUCGCCAUUUAAAGUGGUACGCGAGCUGGGUUUAGAACGUCGUGAGACAGUUCGGUCCCUAUCUGCCGUGGACGUUUGAGAUUUGAGAGGGGCUGCUCCUAGUACGAGAGGACCGGAGUGGACGAACCUCUGGUGUUCCGGUUGUCACGCCAGUGGCAUUGCCGGGUAGCUAUGUUCGGAAGAGAUAACCGCUGAAAGCAUCUAAGCGGGAAACUUGCCUCAAGAUGAGAUCUCACUGGAACCUUGAGUUCCCUGAAGGGCCGUCGAAGACUACGACGUUGAUAGGUUGGAUGUG
rnacentral:rRNA from 14 species